CGGAGCUCAUUCCUAAUGAAGUGCCAACCAUAGAGAAAAGAGGAAAAAAGGAGAAGGAGAAGAAGCCUUCCAUUGUCGUUGUCCAAGGUCCUAAGCCCGGGAAACCUACUGACCGUUCGAGGAUGAGACAGAUACUCGUGAAACUAAAGCACAACACACCUUCUCACCUGAAGCACUCUCCGCCGCCACCACCUGCAGCUGCUGCUGCAAAAGAUCAAGAUGCAAAAACUGGUAAUACUUCUUCUGUCCCAGCUGCUCUUCCAGUCACAAGCACCCCUGAAGCUGUAGUAGCUGCUUAGAUAGUUUUUAUUUUAAC
rnacentral:lncRNA from 1 species